rnacentral:rRNA from 1 species
UACGGAGGGGGCUAGCGUUGUUCGGAAUUACUGGGCGUAAAGCGCACGUAGGCGGCUUUGUAAGUUAGAGGUGAAAGCCCGGGGCUCAACUCCGGAAUUGCCUUUAAGACUGCAUCGCUAGAAUUGUGGAGAGGUAAGUGGAAUUCCGAGUGUAGAGGUGAAAUUCGUAGAUAUUCGGAAGAACACCAGUGGCGAAGGCGGCUCACUGGACUGGUAUUGACGCUGAGGUGCGAAAAGCGUGGGGAGCAAACAGG